UACGUAGGGUGCAAGCGUUAAUCGGAAUUACUGGGCGUAAAGCGUGCGCAGGCGGUGAUGUAAGACAGAUGUGAAAUCCCCGGGCUCAACCUGGGACCCUCAUUUGUGACUGCAUCGCUAGAGUACGGUAGAGGGGGAUGGAAUUCCGCGUGUAGCAGUGAAAUGCGUAGAUAUGCGGAGGAACACCGAUGGCGAAGGCAAUCCCCUGGACCUGUACUGACGCUCAUGCACGAAAGCGUGGGGAGCAAACGAGG
rnacentral:rRNA from 1 species